UAGUUUCGAGAUUAUUCUAAUCAGCUGUUAGGAGAAUAGUGUUGCGAUGUGUACUCAAUUUAUUAGUGACUAGCGAUACACUCCGGCUCCGCUCGGGUCUUUAACA